UGGCGGCGUGCCUAAUACAUGCAAGUCGAGCGGACAGAAGGGAGCUUGCUCCCGGAUGUUAGCGGCGGACGGGUGAGUAACACGUGGGUAACCUGCCUGUAAGACUGGGAUAACUCCGGGAAACCGGAGCUAAUACCGGAUAGUUCCUUGAACCGCAUGGUUCAAGGAUGAAAGACGGUUUCGGCUGUCACUUACAGAUGGACCCGCGGCGCAUUAGCUAGUUGGUGAGGUAACGGCUCACCAAGGCGACGAUGCGUAGCCGACCUGAGAGGGUGAUCGGCCACACUGGGACUGAGACACGGCCCAGACUCCUACGGGAGGCAGCAGUAGGGAAUCUUCCGCAAUGGACGAAAGUCUGACGGAGCAACGCCGCGUGAGUGAUGAAGGUUUUCGGAUCGUAAAGCUCUGUUGUUAGGGAAGAACAAGUGCAAGAGUAACUGCUUGCACCUUGACGGUACCUAACCAGAAAGCCACGGCUAACUACGUGCCAGCA
rnacentral:rRNA from 1 species